rnacentral:lncRNA from 1 species
GAGCCAAAAGCCUGGACCAGACUUUCCUGAAGCCUAGAAUCUGAAGAAUUCCUGAAGACAUCUCUAUGAGAAAUCCAAAGGAACCCCAAGAUGCUAAAUCUGGAGCAGCAAAGAAGCUGUCUGGUACAAAAGGAGGAGUCUGCAGGAGGAUAGAAGUCUUUGGGGAGAGGAGACUGAAGGCAUCAUAUCAGGACUCACCAUAUUUGAAAGACUUAAAAGACUUUGGGGAAAUGGGGUAGUGUUUUGAUUGUUAGUUUUUGCCAAAGGCAGACGGCCUGCCUUUCUGGUUGAAAUUGUGAAUGCGCUGGCAGCAUUGGGGAAUGCCCCCAAAUGUCAAUUGCCUGUAUCUGUACCCCAAGGCUUUCCCACCAUUAGUGAUAGAAUCCAACCCCAUAUAGCACUACCCAUUUGUCCAUUUAUUUGGUCAGCAAUGUCCAGUCUUGACCAAAAGGGGUGUGUGUCAACAUGGAAUCUAGGAAUCCCAAACUUGUUGCCUAGUGGGAUCUUAUGAACCCCAAGGUUCAGGACUAGUUUAUAGGUUUGAGACCUCAAGGUUUAUACUUGUUCCCUGUUCCCCUGGGAAUCUACCCUGAAGGGAUCCCAGGUUAGCAGUUUCAGACUGAGUGGGGUACCCUCAGGGGAAUGACAAUCCUAGUUGGGUGGGACUAAGUAUAUGCUAAGGACCCUCUUUGUCUUAGGUAGUUUCCUCUAUUGUAUCAGACCCUUUCCCAAAAAGCUCCACACCUGGGCAGGUACCAUCCUUUAGUAUCCAUUGUAAGUAGUCCCUUCUCUUAUACCCUAACCUCUAGCUAUGAUUCCUUUCCCAAGGUUGAUUGUAUCCUGUCAAUGUAGUUUGAAUACUCUGUAAGGAUAAUUUUAGGAUUGUGACCUAAUCUAAAUUAAUUUUGGUCACCGGGGCCCAAGUCAGUUGGAAAUUUAUGGUGGUUUAAUUAAUAUAGAAGGAAGGAAUUAAGGAGAAGAGAAAAAGGAGGAUAUAGGAUUUCUCCUGCCUGGCCUGGGGGAGUUCAAAGUCCUGUACCAAUAGGUCUCUGAAGAUUAGAGACUUUCUAGAGGAUAGUGUUUGGAGGGUGAAGGAGAAGGAAUCAGUCUGAAUGCCUCACUUGAACUAGGCUACUCAGCUUCUUCCUGUAUGGUAUCAGGGAAAACUCACUGCUAAACUCGGACAAUAACAGCCACCACGCCAAGAUGCCGAAACACUCAGCACACUGCUGCCAACCACUUCUCCACUGCCAAAAAGGCCGGAGAGAGGAAGUGCCGCGAAAUAUAUACAGUUUUUACAUCACUUUCCUGUGUCUCACAUGUACCAAUGGUAGCUUAAGCUUGACUUAGGACAGACCAGGGGUUUGUCAAUUAUUUCUGACUUUUCAUUUGCUAGCACAUGUCUGUCAUAGGCCAUCCUCCUAAAUACUUAGUCCUUAAGUAUGGGUGUAGACAUUCUUGUUUUUGUUAGACUAAGUAGGGUGGAGUAAUCUAAAGUUCACAACUCUGAUUUCCUUUGUAGUCAUAGUAAUGUCAAUCAUCUUUCCCUGCCCCUGGAUUCCCCAAAUGGUAUAUAGGUUCCCCAAAUUCUUUUGUUCCCUGAAGUCCAUCUAGUGAGACAGCACUCCCAGGGGUCAGUGACCAGAUCAGCCAGAGUUCAAUCCUCAGACUCUGUGUGUCAUGCAAGCUCUGUGUUGAGGCCUACUAGCACUGAACCCCUUUUGCCCUUGAUUAACGAGUGAUUUUGACUAUUCAAUAGUUCUGUGUUUUUUCCCAGUCAACAAACUAAAGAAGAUGAAUCUUCCUGACUCCAGGUCCUGUGCUCCAUCCACUUAGCUGCCCACCAGGUACUUUAGGAAGCACCAAACAUGCAAAUAUAAAAACAUAAAUUAAGUACCUGUGCCCAGAGUCCUUGGGGUAAUGGUAGGGGGAAAGUUCAAGAAAAAUACUUAGCAUUCUGAUUGUUUGGCACAAACCUGUUAGAGACAAAUUUGUUGAAUACUUUCUCAAAUGUGGUGUCAGGAGAGAGAGCGCAUGCGCACUCUUUUGGGACUGAAAUAACGUUGCAGUUACGACAAUACUACUUUACCCCAUUAUGGCAGUGUUGGGUUUUUUAAAACUAUACCAGCAGAGCCCAAGCUUCCAAGAUGUGAUACUAUUAUAUAUGUGUGUGUGUAUCUGUUCACCAAGGACCAGUCUGAGUAUAACUGUGAUGAUCAUUAAACUACGUCUAUGAAUGUAUGUCUGUAUAUGUUACAUAUGUGUGUAUGUGUAUAUAUCCCACAGUGAGCAAUGAAAAUGUCAAAAAUUUUAAAUGACUUCCCAGACCUGUUACCCCUCCCACUUCCAUUGUAAUAGUGAUGGAUUGAUAAGCAUGGAGGCAACAUUAAGGCAUAGUGUGGAAGUCCAAAAAGAAUCACAUAAUGAAGGAGAAUGAAGAAUGAUUGACUGGCCAGGGCUCUUCCUCCAUAGCCAAGAAAAGAAUGAAGGCCAGCUAGAUAGGGCCUGAAGAUGAAAGGAAUCAUACCUUUCUUAAGCAAUCUACAAACAACUUGUUUUUAACACGAGAUUGUUGUGCCGUGACUAACAUGGAGGCUGAAACAUAUCUAUAACCAUCAAAAGUAAACAUUCAAAUAUAGAAAUAAGAAUUUUAAAAAUUCAACUUUAUAAACUCUGUAUUUACAAUGUGUAAAGGUUAACAAUAAAAUGUUAACAACAAACUAUUAUUUACA